AAGAAAAACCACAGAGAGCUGAGGAAAACAUUCAGACUUCCCCCAGAAAAGCCCCAGCUAGGCUUACACCCAGGAACUUUCUUGGUGUGAGGCAUAGGUGCUAACGACCUCGCUACUCUUAUUGUAUACCAGUUAUUAUCAUUAUUAUUUUACAGAUCACUAGUUGGAUCACUAACAAUAGCAAACAGAUGCUGAUGUUCUUGCAGCCUCUAGAAACAGAGAGAAAAUCAAACUUAUUACAGAAGUUUAUGGAGCAUAUGUCUGAUAACACGGCCACUAGGUCAGUUACCCUCAUCAUUAUUAAUGACGAAAGUGAUAAUUUUAGCUUGGGCUCACACCAGGCAGUUUGAUGCUGGCGCCCACAUACUGUACUACCCAGAGAGCCCAGCAGAAGGUCAAAGCCUGCUAAGAGGCCAGGUCUGAAAUAUGCCUGUGUUCAGCCUAAUGACCCGCAGCACAAUUAACACUCUGCAGCUCAGCAGGUCAGCGUGAGGAUACGGAGGUGUUUAUUGGCUGCUGGCCUUGGUUUCCUGGCAAACCCCGCCGCGCCCAGCUGAUCAUCUUCCAGACUGGGAGCUGGAGGCGCUCCAGUCUGACACAUGCACAGUACAGUGGAGUCCAGCAGCCACAUGGAAGGAAGGAGGCUGACACACAUAGCAGCACAGGGGGACCAAUGAGACUCCAGGAAAGGGAUGUCGCCGAGCUAUUUUCAUCCUCAAGACUCUGAAUGUGGCAGACCCCGAGAAGCAGGUGCACCUCAUCGAAGCCAGAUUUCAGACCCACCGUCUCCUAGCAACAACACCAGAAGACGAGAGCACCACCAGCUCCACCAGGGCUACUGCUAUUUACCAAAAUGUCGUCUGGCUUUGUUUGGCUGUUUUGUCAUUUUUUUAAAAAAAUGACAAAGAAAGGGGGGGGAAAGUAGGCCACCAGUUCUUGUUAAACUGUUAAAAGCUAAACUGAACUGGUUUAAACACAGAAGACAAACUGGAUUAAGCAUAUAUAUAAAAUAUGUUUUGCAGUGUCUGUGAAGUGCGAUUGAGGGAUGUUCCUCAGGUCACCCCUCAGAACUGUUAAUGCAACAGGCCGCUGUAGGAUUCAUCACUACAGCACAGUAUAUUUAUAUUAAUACCAAGGCUUCC
ensembl:lncRNA